AGGACCAAUAAAGAAAGGGUGUCACAAACCAAGGAUUAUGACUAAUCCAAAUGUGUGCACCUGAGGUCCAAA
rnacentral:snoRNA from 1 species